GGGUUGUGAGGUUAAGCGACUAAGCGUACACGGUGGAUGCCCUGGCAGUCAGAGGCGAUGAAGGACGUGCUAAUCUGCGAUAAGCGUCGGUAAGGUGAUAUGAACCGUUAUAACCGGCGAUUUCCGAAUGGGGAAACCCAGUGUGAUUCGUCACACUAUCAUUAACUGAAUCCAUAGGUUAAUGAGGCGAACCGGGGGAACUGAAACAUCUAAGUACCCCGAGGAAAAGAAAUCAACCGAGAUUCCCCCAGUAGCGGCGAGCGAACGGGGAGGAGCCCAGAGCCUGAAUCAGUGUGUGUGUUAGUGGAAGCGUCUGGAAAGGCGCGCGAUACAGGGUGACAGCCCCGUACACAAAAAUGCACAUGCUGUGAGCUCGAUGAGUAGGGCGGGACACGUGGUAUCCUGUCUGAAUAUGGGGGGACCAUCCUCCAAGGCUAAAUACUCCUGACUGACCGAUAGUGAACCAGUACCGUGAGGGAAAGGCGAAAAGAACCCCGGCGAGGGGAGUGAAAAAGAACCUGAAACCGUGUACGUACAAGCAGUGGGAGCACAGAGCAAUCUGUGUGACUGCGUACCUUUUGUAUAAUGGGUCAGCGACUUAUAUUCUGUAGCAAGGUUAACCGAAUAGGGGAGCCGAAGGGAAACCGAGUCUUAACUGGGCGUUAAGUUGCAGGGUAUAGACCCGAAACCCGGUGAUCUAGCCAUGGGCAGGUUGAAGGUUGGGUAACACUAACUGGAGGACCGAACCGACUAAUGUUGAAAAAUUAGCGGAUGACUUGUGGCUGGGGGUGAAAGGCCAAUCAAACCGGGAGAUAGCUGGUUCUCCCCGAAAGCUAUUUAGGUAGCGCCUCGUGAAUUCAUCUCCGGGGGUAGAGCACUGUUUCGGCAAGGGGGUCAUCCCGACUUACCAACCCGAUGCAAACUGCGAAUACCGGAGAAUGUUAUCACGGGAGACACACGGCGGGUGCUAACGUCCGUCGUGAAGAGGGAAACAACCCAGACCGCCAGCUAAGGUCCCAAAGUCAUGGUUAAGUGGGAAACGAUGUGGGAAGGCCCAGACAGCCAGGAUGUUGGCUUAGAAGCAGCCAUCAUUUAAAGAAAGCGUAAUAGCUCACUGGUCGAGUCGGCCUGCGCGGAAGAUGUAACGGGGCUAAACCAUGCACCGAAGCUGCGGCAGCGACACUGUGUGUUGUUGGGUAGGGGAGCGUUCUGUAAGCCUGUGAAGGUGUGCUGUGAGGCAUGCUGGAGGUAUCAGAAGUGCGAAUGCUGACAUAAGUAACGAUAAAGCGGGUGAAAAGCCCGCUCGCCGGAAGACCAAGGGUUCCUGUCCAACGUUAAUCGGGGCAGGGUGAGUCGACCCCUAAGGCGAGGCCGAAAGGCGUAGUCGAUGGGAAACAGGUUAAUAUUCCUGUACUUGGUGUUACUGCGAAGGGGGGACGGAGAAGGCUAUGUUGGCCGGGCGACGGUUGUCCCGGUUUAAGCGUGUAGG
rnacentral:rRNA from 1 species